CAGGUGGUGCAUGGUUGUCGUCAGCUCGUGUCGUGAGAUGUUGGGUUAAGUCCCGCAACGAGCGCAACCCUUAUUGUUAGUUGCUACGCAAGAGCACUCUAGCGAGACUGCCGUUGACAAAACGGAGGAAGGUGGGGACGACGUCAAAUCAUCAUGCCCCUUAUGUCCUGGGCCACACACGUACUACAAUGGUGGUCAACAGAGGGAAGCAAUACCGCGAGGUGGAGCAAAUCCCUAAAAGCCAUCCCAGUUCGGAUCGCAGGCUGCAACCCGCCUGCGUGAAGUUGGAAUCGCUAGUAAUCGCGGAUCAGCAUGCCGCGGUGAAUACGUUCCCGGGCCUUGUACACACCGCCCGUCACACCAUGAGAGUCGGGAACACCCGAAGUCCGUAGCCUAACCGCAAGGGGGGCGCGGCCGAAGGUGGGUUCGAUAAUUGGGGUGAAGUCGUAACAAGGUAGCCGUAUCGGAAGGUGCGGCUGGAUCACCUC
rnacentral:rRNA from 1 species